GGCCUUUGGGUUGUAAACCUCUUUUCUCAGGGAAGAAGAUCUGACGGUACCUGAGGGAUAAGCAUCGGCUAACUCCGUGCCAGCAGCCGCGGUAAUACGGAGGAUGCAAGCGUUAUCCGGAAUUAUUGGGCGUAAAGCGUCCGCAGGUGGUCUUUCAAGUCUGCUGUCAAAGACCAGAGCUUAACUCUGGGCAGGCGGUGGAAACUGAGAGACUAGAGUUCGGUAGGGGUAGCGGGAAUUCCCAGUGUAGCGGUGAAAUGCGUAGAUAUUGGGAAGAACAUCGGUGGCGAAGGCGUGCUACUGGACCGAAACUGAC
rnacentral:rRNA from 1 species